rnacentral:rRNA from 1 species
GGGUUGUGAGGUUAAGCGACUAAGCGUACACGGUGGAUGCCCUGGCAGUCAGAGGCGAUGAAGGACGUGCUAAUCUGCGAUAAGCGUCGGUAAGGUGAUAUGAACCGUUAUAACCGGCGAUUUCCGAAUGGGGAAACCCAGUGUGUUUCGACACACUAUCAUUAACUGAAUCCAUAGGUUAAUGAGGCGAACCGGGGGAACUGAAACAUCUAAGUACCCCGAGGAAAAGAAAUCAACCGAGAUUCCCCCAGUAGCGGCGAGCGAACGGGGAGGAGCCCAGAGCCUGAAUCAGUGUGUGUGUUAGUGGAAGCGUCUGGAAAGGCGCGCGAUACAGGGUGACAGCCCCGUACACAAAAAUGCACAUGCUGUGAGCUCGAUGAGUAGGGCGGGACACGUGGUAUCCUGUCUGAAUAUGGGGGGACCAUCCUCCAAGGCUAAAUACUCCUGACUGACCGAUAGUGAACCAGUACCGUGAGGGAAAGGCGAAAAGAACCCCGGCGAGGGGAGUGAAAAAGAACCUGAAACCGUGUACGUACAAGCAGUGGGAGCACAGAGCAAUCUGUGUGACUGCGUACCUUUUGUAUAAUGGGUCAGCGACUUAUAUUCUGUAGCAAGGUUAACCGAAUAGGGGAGCCGAAGGGAAACCGAGUCUUAACCGGGCGUUAAGUUGCAGGGUAUAGACCCGAAACCCGGUGAUCUAGCCAUGGGCAGGUUGAAGGUUGGGUAACACUAACUGGAGGACCGAACCGACUAAUGUUGAAAAAUUAGCGGAUGACUUGUGGCUGGGGGUGAAAGGCCAAUCAAACCGGGAGAUAGCUGGUUCUCCCCGAAAGCUAUUUAGGUAGCGCCUCGUGAAUUCAUCUCCGGGGGUAGAGCACUGUUUCGGCAAGGGGGUCAUCCCGACUUACCAACCCGAUGCAAACUGCGAAUACCGGAGAAUGUUAUCACGGGAGACACACGGCGGGUGCUAACGUCCGUCGUGAAGAGGGAAACAACCCAGACCGCCAGCUAAGGUCCCAAAGUCAUGGUUAAGUGGGAAACGAUGUGGGAAGGCCCAGACAGCCAGGAUGUUGGCUUAGAAGCAGCCAUCAUUUAAAGAAAGCGUAAUAGCUCACUGGUCGAGUCGGCCUGCGCGGAAGAUGUAACGGGGCUAAACCAUGCACCGAAGCUGCGGCAGCGACACUGUGUGUUGUUGGGUAGGGGAGCGUUCUGUAAGCCUGUGAAGGUGUGCUGUGAGGCAUGCUGGAGGUAUCAGAAGUGCGAAUGCUGACAUAAGUAACGAUAAAGCGGGUGAAAAGCCCGCUCGCCGGAAGACCAAGGGUUCCUGUCCAACGUUAAUCGGGGCAGGGUGAGUCGACCCCUAAGGCGAGGCCGAAAGGCGUAGUCGAUGGGAAACAGGUUAAUAUUCCUGUACUUGGUGUUACUGCGAAGGGGGGACGGAGAAGGCUAUGUUGGCCGGGCGACGGUUGUCCCGGUUUAAGCGUGUAGGCUGGUUUUCCAGGCAAAUCCGGAAAAUCAAGGCUGAGGCGUGAUGACGAGGCACUACGGUGCUGAAGCAACAAAUGCCCUGCUUCCAGGAAAAGCCUCUAAGCAUCAGGUAACAUCAAAUCGUACCCCAAACCGACACAGGUGGUCAGGUAGAGAAUACCAAGGCGCUUGAGAGAACUCGGGUGAAGGAACUAGGCAAAAUGGUGCCGUAACUUCGGGAGAAGGCACGCUGAUAUGUAGGUGAAGUCCCUCGCGGAUGGAGCUGAAAUCAGUCGAAGAUACCAGCUGGCUGCAACUGUUUAUUAAAAACACAGCACUGUGCAAACACGAAAGUGGACGUAUACGGUGUGACGCCUGCCCGGUGCCGGAAGGUUAAUUGAUGGGGUCAGCGCAAGCGAAGCUCUUGAUCGAAGCCCCGGUAAACGGCGGCCGUAACUAUAACGGUCCUAAGGUAGCGAAAUUCCUUGUCGGGUAAGUUCCGACCUGCACGAAUGGCGUAAUGAUGGCCAGGCUGUCUCCACCCGAGACUCAGUGAAAUUGAACUCGCUGUGAAGAUGCAGUGUACCCGCGGCAAGACGGAAAGACCCCGUGAACCUUUACUAUAGCUUGACACUGAACAUUGAGCCUUGAUGUGUAGGAUAGGUGGGAGGCUUUGAAGUGUGGACGCCAGUCUGCAUGGAGCCGACCUUGAAAUACCACCCUUUAAUGUUUGAUGUUCUAACGUGGACCCGUGAUCCGGGUUGCGGACAGUGUCUGGUGGGUAGUUUGACUGGGGCGGUCUCCUCCUAAAGAGUAACGGAGGAGCACGAAGGUUGGCUAAUCCUGGUCGGACAUCAGGAGGUUAGUGCAAUGGCAUAAGCCAGCUUGACUGCGAGCGUGACGGCGCGAGCAGGUGCGAAAGCAGGUCAUAGUGAUCCGGUGGUUCUGAAUGGAAGGGCCAUCGCUCAACGGAUAAAAGGUACUCCGGGGAUAACAGGCUGAUACCGCCCAAGAGUUCAUAUCGACGGCGGUGUUUGGCACCUCGAUGUCGGCUCAUCACAUCCUGGGGCUGAAGUAGGUCCCAAGGGUAUGGCUGUUCGCCAUUUAAAGUGGUACGCGAGCUGGGUUUAGAACGUCGUGAGACAGUUCGGUCCCUAUCUGCCGUGGGCGCUGGAGAACUGAGGGGGGCUGCUCCUAGUACGAGAGGACCGGAGUGGACGCAUCACUGGUGUUCGGAUUGUCAUGCCAAUGGCACUGCCCGGUAGCUAAAUGCGGAAGAGAUAAGUGCUGAAAGCAUCUAAGCACGAAACUUGCCCCGAGAUGAGUUCUCCCUGACCCUUUAAGGGUCCUGAAGGAACGUUGAAGACGACGACGUUGAUAGGCCGGGUGUGUAAGCGCAGCGAUGCGUUGAGCUAACCGGUACUAAUGAACCGUGAGGCUUAACCUUACAACGCCGAAGGUGUUU